UACGGAGGGUGCAAGCGUUAAUCGGAAUUACUGGGCGUAAAGCGAGUGUAGGUGGUCGAAUAAGUCGGAUGUGAAAGCCCUGGGCUUAACCUGGGAAUUGCAUUCGAUACUGUUCGGCUAGAGUCUGAUAGAGGGAAGUGGAAUUCCAGGUGUAGCGGUGAAAUGCGUAGAUAUCUGGAGGAACAUCAGUGGCGAAGGCGGCUUCCUGGAUCAAGACUGACACUGAGGCUCGAAAGCGUGGGGAGCAAACAGG
rnacentral:rRNA from 1 species